CCUACGGGAGGCAGCAGUGAGGAAUAUUGGUCACUGGACGAGAGUCUGAACCAGCCAAGUAGCGUGAAGGAUGACUGCCCUAUGGGUUGUAAACUUCUUUUAUAUGGGACUAAAAUGUUCCACGUGUGGGAUUUUGUAUGUACCAUAUGAAUAAGGAUCGGCUAACUCCGUGCCAGCAGCCGCGGUAAUACGGAGGAUCCGAGCGUUAUCCGGAUUUAUUGGGUUUAAAGGGAGCGUAGGUGGAUUGUUAAGUCAGUUGUGAAAGUUUGCGGCUCAACCGUAAAAUUGCAGUUGAAACUGGCAGUCUUGAGUACAGUAGAGGUGGGCGGAAUGCGUGGUGUAGCGGUGAAAUGCUUAGAUAUCACGAAGAACUCCGAUUGCGAAGGCAGUUCACUGGACUGCAACUGACACUGAGGCUCGAAAGUGUGGGUAUCAAACAGGAUUAGAUACCCUAGUAGUC
rnacentral:rRNA from 1 species